rnacentral:tRNA from 1 species
UAUUUUAAUAGCUUAUGUUUAAAGUAUAAUAUUGAAGAUAUUAUGAAGAUAAAUUAUCUUAAAAUAU